GAUUUAGACAGGAGCCAAUUUACCUUCCAGCAUGUCUCUGGAGUGUGGGAGGAAACCGGAGCACCAGGAGGAAACGCACGCAAGCACAGGGAGGAAAUGCAAAC